AUUUAUAGGUUACAGAUGGGCAUGCGUGACAUUAGUUAGUUGGUGAGGUAACGGCUCACCAAGACUGCGAUGCCUAGGGGUUCUGAGAGGAAGGUCCCCCACACUGGAACUGAGACACGGUCCAGACUCCUACGGGAGGCAGCAGUGAGGAAUAUUGGUCAAUGGACGCAAGUCUGAACCAGCCAUGUCGCGUGCAGGAUGACUGCCCUAUGGGUUGUAAACUGCUUUUAUAUUGGAAGAAUUGCGCUUACGAGUUAAGCGUUUGACGGUACAUUAUGAAUAAGGAUCGGCUAACUCCGUGCCAGCAGCCGCGGUAAUACGGAGGAUCCGAGCGUUAUCCGGAUUUAUUGGGUUUAAAGGGUGCGUAGGCGGAAAUGUAAGUCAGUGGUGAAAUCCUGCAGCUUAACUGUAGAAUAGCCGUUGAAACUGUGUUUCUUGAGUACAUUUGAGGUAGGCGGAAUGUGGUGUGUAGCGGUGAAAUGCAUAGAUAUACCACAGAACACCGAUUGCGAAGGCAGCUUACUAAACUGUCACUGACGCUGAUGCACGAAAGCGUGGGUAUCAAAGAGGAUUAGAUACCCUGGUAGUCCACGCUGUAAACGAUGAUUACUGGUUGUUUGCGAUACACUGCAAGUGACUGAGCGAAAGCAUUAAGUAAUCCACCUGGGGAGUACGUCGGCAACGAUGAAACUCAAAGGAAUUGACGGGGGCCCGCACAAGCGGAGGAGCAUGUGGUUUAAUUCGAUGAUACGCGAGGAACCUUACCUGGGUUUAAAUGGGGAGUGACAGGCUUGGAAACAGGCCCUUCUUCGGACACUCUUCAAGGUGUUGCAUGGUUGUCGUCAGCUCGUGCCGUGAGGUGUCGGGUUAAGUCCCAUAACGAGCGCAACCCCUAUCGAUAGUUACCAGCACGUUACGGUGGGGACUCUAUCGAGACUGCCGGUGUAAACCGUGAGGAGGGUGGGGAUGACGUCAAAUCAGCACGGCCCUUACAUCCAGGGCUACACACGUGUUACAAUGGGUGGUACAAAGGGCAGCUACCGGGCGACCGGAUGCCGAUCUCUAAAACCACUCUCAGUUCGGAUCGGAGUCUGCAACUCGACUCCGUGAAGCUGGAUUCGCUAGUAAUCGCGCAUCAGCCACGGCGCGGUGAAUACGUUCCCGGG
rnacentral:rRNA from 1 species